AUGUGUCAGUUCUUCCUAGGUGUCCAGCCAUUCCAUGUGAUAGCAUAUCCACUUGACCCAAUACUUGAUCUAGAAAUUAACCCUGCAUUGCAUCACUUUAAACUAAUUCCGGCGCAAAACGAUCAGCCCUGCCCUGUUUCAAAACAUUGUAAUAUGUCCGAAAACCUGCAUAAGAAAAAAAAUCAGAAAAAAAAUCAGAAAUAA